GGGAGGUAGUGACAAUAAAUAACAAUACGGGGUUCUUCGAAUCUCGUAAUUGGAAUGAGUACAAUUUAAAUCUCUUAACGAGGAACAAUUGGAGGGCAAGUCUGGUGCCAGCAGCCGCGGUAAUUCCAGCUCCAAUAGCGUAUAUUAAAGUUGUUGCAGUUAAAAAGCUCGUAGUUGAAUUUCGGGGUUAGCAGGUCGGUCGUGCCAAUGGUAUGCACUGGCUCGCUGACUCCUCCUUCUUGUAGAACCGUAAUGCCAUUAAUUUGGUGUUGCGGGGAAACAGGACUGUUACUUUGAAAAAUUAGAGUGUUUAAAGCAGGCUAACGCUUGAAUACAUUAGCAUGGAAUAAUGAAAUAGGACGACGAUCCUAUUUUGUUGGUUUCUAGGAUUGACGUAAUGAUUAAUAGGGAUAGUUGGG
rnacentral:rRNA from 1 species